rnacentral:rRNA from 1 species
UACAGAGGUCCCAAGCGUUGUUCGGAUUCAUUGGGCGUAAAGGGUGCGUAGGUGGCGUCGUAAGUCGGGUGUGAAAUCUCGGGGCUUAACUCCGAAACUGCAUUCGAUACUGCGGUGCUUGAGGACUGGAGAGGAGACUGGAAUUUACGGUGUAGCAGUGAAACGCGUAGAGAUCGUAAGGAAGACCAGUGGCGAAGGCGGGUCUCUGGACAGUUCCUGACACUGAGGCACGAAGGCCAGGGGAGCAAACGGG